rnacentral:misc_RNA from 1 species
GAUGAAGAACGCAGCGAAAUGCGAUACGUAAUGUGAAUUGCAAAAUUCAGUGAAUCAUCGAGUCUUUGAACGCACAUUGCGCCCCCUGGUAUUCCGGGGGGCAUGCCUGUCCGAGCGUCAUUGCUGCCCUCAAGCACGGCUUGUGUGUUGGGCCUCCGUCCUCCUCCCGGGGGACGGGCCCGAAAGGCAGCGGCGGCACCGCGUCCGGUCCUCGAGCGUAUGGGGCUUCGUCACCCGCUCUUGUAGGCCCGGCCGGCGCUUGCCGACACAUCAAUCUUUUUUCCAGGUUGACCUCGGAUCAGGUAGGGAUACCCGCUGAACUUAAGCAUAUCAAUAAGCGGAGGA